rnacentral:rRNA from 1 species
AGCAGCCGCGGUAAUUCCAGCUCCAAUAGCGUAUAUUAAAGUUGUUGCAGUUAAAAAGCUCGUAGUUGAAUUUUGGGUUUGGCCAAUUGGUCCGUUCUUGUAACGAGUACUGGUUGGUUGGGCCUCACCGCCUGGUGAUACGUAAUGUCCUUUAUUGGGUGUUGCGAGUAGCCAGGACCUUUACCUUGAAAAAAUUAGAGUGUUUAAAGCAGGCUUAUGCCGGAAUACAUUAGCAUGGAAUAAUAGAAUAGGACGAUGAUUCUAUUUUGUUGGUUUCUAGGAGCAUCGUAAUGAUUAAUAGGGAUAGUUGGGGGCAUUAGUAUUCAAUUGUCAGAGGUGAAAUUCUUGGAUUUAUUGAAGACUAACUACUGCGAAAGCAUUUGCCAAGGAUGUUUUCAUUAAUCAAGAACGAAAGUUAGGGGAUCGAAGACGAUCAGAUACCGUCGUAGUCUUAACCAUAAACUAUGCCGACUAGGGAUCGGGCGAUGUUGUUUCAAUGACUCGCUCGGCACCUUAUGGG